rnacentral:rRNA from 1 species
UUGACCUCGGAUCAGGUAGGGAUACCCGCUGAACUUAAGCAUAUCAAUAGCCCGGAGGAAA